CCUACGGGGCGCAGCAGUGAGGAAUAUUGGUCAAUGGUCGGGAGACUGAACCAGCCAAGCCGCGUGAGGGAUGAAGGUACAGAGUAUCGUAAACCUCUUUUGUCAGGGAACAAAGGCGGGGACGUGUCCCCGGAUGAGUGUACCUGAAGAAAAAGCAUCGGCUAACUCCGUGCCAGCAGCCGCGGUAAUACGGAGGAUGCGAGCGUUACUCGGAAUCACUGGGCGUAAAGAGUGCGCAGGCGGGCUUGUAGGUCAGAUGUGAAAUCCUGUAGCUUAACUACAGAACUGCAUUUGAAACUAUGAGU
rnacentral:rRNA from 1 species